rnacentral:rRNA from 1 species
UACGUAGGGGGCAAGCGUUGUCCGGAUUUAUUGGGCGCAAAGAGCGUGUAGGCGGUUAGGUAGGUCCGUUGUGAAAACUCGAGGCUCAACCUCGAGACGCCGAUGGAAACCAUCUGACUAGAGUCCGGAAGAGGAGAGUGGAAUUCCCGGUGUAGCGGUGAAAUGCGCAGAUAUCGGGAGGAACACCGGUGGCGAAGGCGGUUCUCUGGGCCUGACCUGACGCUGAGGAGCGAAAGCGUGGGGAGCGAACAGG